CCUGGAAAGACAGGAAGGGGCGGACGUCAGGCGCGUACCGGACACCCUCCCGGACACCCCUCCACGCAGCAGAGAUGAGGGGCACGCCGUACAAGCCGAGCAGAGCCCUGCCAUCCCAUCCCGCGUGUGCAAACGUGUGGCUGAUGAUGUCAAGUUCACAAAACUUCAACAUGGCUGGAGUUAUGCUCAGUUGACCACCCUGAUGGCUCAGAAUGACCAAGGAUUAGGAAAACCACCUAAGGCUUUUCCCAGAUGUUUUGAAGUUUAUCUAAGCUCAAUACCUUACUUAGACCUUCGCCAGUUAGGGGCACACCCUUCACUUCCCCACGGCGGGGCUGGUGACGCCCGCAACCCUCCCAGGGCCCUGGCCCUCAGAUCCCUCUGCCUUGCCAGGUACCGUCCAGCCGUGAGCCGUGUAGCCAGCCGGCCUCACCCUCCUUCUCCCGACUGCCAGCUCUACUCCACCAAAACCCCUCCAGGGGCCUGGCCCUGCCCUGCCCCAGGCUGAGAGCCUGGCUGAGAACCGCCUGAGGGCAGCAGGCCUGUCAAAGAGAGUGGCAGUCACUGCUCCGCCUACCACAGGCCUGGCGCAGAGAGCCACUCACUCCAGGAAAAGGAAACGGUCUAGAAACCGCAGAAGGAGGCUGCGCGAGAACACAGGCGGCCCUGCCAACAGGAGGCUGGACACGGAGAGACCAGAGCCGCCCUUCCCCGCGGCCUGGAAACGGGAGAGACCGGGGGCCAGUGAAGCGGGUUUUCUCAUGGGUCCUUUUCUCAGAACCGACUCCACUCACUGGGAAAGGUCCCAAAGUGAGAGAUCUAGAAAACUGUGCAGCCUGUAUCCCCCAGAGCAGGCUCCUGCUACGGACCACCAGGGGAUGGUGUUCAAGGGCAGACGGUUCGGUCGUGCCGGGUAGGGCCUGAGGACGGCACUUCUGGCACGCUCCAGAAGGGCCCGUGAGCACUGUGGGUAACCAGGGUGGAGACAGGGACCAGCGGUAAAAGAUGAAGGGUCAGUUCUUAUUACUUACGAUAGUGAGCACCCAUAGGCUACCUGACUUCGGACCUCCAGAUGGGAUACCGUGAGCCACCGUGUCGGGAGCCCAGGGCGAGGGUUUCACAGGCCAUGGGACCGCCUUCACCAAAGCCCUAACACCCCCAGAACACCCUCCUAUUCCUCCAUGAGCCAGGAGCGGGUGUAAAACCCCCUGCCCUCCGCGGCCACUGCUCCAGGGAGGGGGUGAUGCACAGAGUCCCUGCUCGGCAGCCAUCACCGACAGGCUCGGGCCGAAGCCGAGCGCUGAGCCCCAAGGAUCCGUGACCCUCACACGGGCACUGACGCGGCCUCAGGACGUAUCCAGGCAGGCUCACGACGUGCUGCUAUGCCACAUCAGGGGACACGCUCUGCCCCUCUGUGUCCCAAGGGUCCACUGGUGGCACUGACCUUUGCUUCCCAGCCCCACCCACGCCGGGGUCUCAGGGAGGCGCUUGGCCAGGCGCUGAGAUCCCAGCCUCGUGAGCAGUUCCGACGCCGCCGGCGGGUGUCGGCAGGCCCUGCGUUUCCACAGAGCACUGGGGACGGUUCACAAGGCCUCUGGGGGCUGAGGCCACCCGGGUUCUCCCUGGGCCCGCAGGCUUGCGCCCCAUCUCUCCACCAGCUCUCACCUGUCCCGGCUCAUGCAUCAGCUCCCACCUGAGGCCUCGCGGUCGCCUGCUGCUGCAACGCCCCAUGGCCACACAAAUAAACUGGGCUUUAUUUGUC